AUCCCACGACGAGGACACUUACGAAGUAAUUUCUUGAAUCUUUCCCACGCCUCGUAUGCAGAUUCGUCAUCCAAUUGUUGGAAAGUUGUUAUCUCAUUACGAAACUU
rfam:Gossypium raimondii Chr03_contig_465, whole genome shotgun sequence.